rnacentral:rRNA from 1 species
GAGUUUGAUCAUGGCUCAGGAUGAACGCUAGCGGCAGGCUUAACACAUGCAAGUCGAGGGGUAGAGGAAGCUUGCUUCCUUGAGACCGGCGCACGGGUGCGUAACGCGUAUGCAAGUCUACCUUGUACAGGGGGAUAGCCCAGAGAAAUUUGGAUUAAUACCCCAUAGUGUAAUGAAAUGGCAUCAUUUUAUUACUAAAGUUCCAACGGUACAGGAUGAGCAUGCGUCCCAUUAGCUAGUUGGUGUGGUAACGGCAUACCAAGGCAACGAUGGGUAGGGGUCCUGAGAGGGAGAUCCCCCACACUGGUACUGAGACACGGACCAGACUCCUACGGGAGGCAGCAGUGAGGAAUAUUGGUCAAUGGGCGCAAGCCUGAACCAGCCAUGCCGCGUGCAGGAUGACGGUCCUAUGGAUUGUAAACUGCUUUUUGUACAGGAAGAAACACUCCCUCGUGAGGGAACUUGACGGUACUGUAAGAAUAAGGAUCGGCUAACUCCGUGCCAGCCGCCGC